UGGUGAUGAGGAUUAAUGCGCUUCAGUGAUGAUCAGGGUUCAUCACAACCAUCUGAUAGAGAGAUGUCUUAAAAGUGCUUCUGAGCCA